UACGUAGGGUGCAAGCGUUGUCCGGAAUUAUUGGGCGUAAAGAGCUCGUAGGCGGUUUGUCACGUCGACUGUGAAAACCCGGGGCUCAACUCCGGGCCUGCAGUCGAUACGGGCUGGCUUGAGUGCGGUAGGGGAGACUGGAAUUCCUGGUGUAGCGGUGAAAUGCGCAGAUAUCAGGAGGAACACCGGUGGCGAAGGCGGGUCUCUGGGCCGUAACUGACGCUGAGGAGCGAAAGCGUGGGGAGCGAACAGG
rnacentral:rRNA from 1 species